UGAUGGUUCUUCCUCGCUUGUCACCAAGUUUUGGGCAUGCGAUUUUAGGCCAUCAUAAAUAAACUGAAUCACUUCACCCAUUGCUGGUUAUGUUUGGACUCUAUUUCUCACACUCAUCCAGCUUUUGGUUUUGCAGAUUCUUACAAAU